CCUACGGGGGGCAGCAGUGAGGUAUAUUGGUCAAUGGACGAGAGUCUGAACCAGCCAAGUAGCGUGAAGGAUGACUGCCCUAUGGGUUGUAAACUUCUUUUAUAUGGGAAUAAAACGUUCCACGUGUGGGAUUUUGUAUGUACCAUAUGAAUAAGGAUCGGCUAACUCCGUGCCAGCAGCCGCGGUAAUACGGAGGAUCCGAGCGUUAUCCGGAUUUAUUGGGUUUAAAGGGAGCGUAGGUGGAUUGUUAAGUCAGUUGUGAAAGUUUGCGGCUCAACCGUAAAAUUGCAGUUGAAACUGGCAGUCUUGAGUACAGUAGAGGUGGGCGGAAUUCGUGGUGUAGCGGUGAAAUGCUUAGAUAUCACGAAGAACUCCGAUUGCGAAGGCAGUUCACUGGACUGCAACUGACACUGAGGCUCGAAAGUGUGGGUAUCAAACAGGAUUAGAUACCCCAGUAGUC
rnacentral:rRNA from 1 species